AAAAAUUAAUUAUCUAUUAACGUGGAUUUGGACGACAAUAGUUUGUGAUGUUUCAUGUGAUGAUCAUUUUCAUGUUCAUCGUCUUUGAAUUGACAUGAGGAUAUCUAUGGAAAAGUAACUAAUCUGAAAGUAAGCCAACAUAUCGUUUGUCCUUUGUGUGCUAAAGAAAAGAUUUUCUUUUCGCAUCAUGAGGAAGUAUUACAUCAAUUAAAAAAUGUUAGGAAGUUGAUUACUUGUCAUGGAAAAGUAUACCAAUGGAAAUUAUUUGUUAAAGAAGUAUAAUUCUAAGGGUUUUAAGAAUAAAUUGGUUGAACCCAAAAUCUGGAGGAAGUACCUAUAUCCAUACACAGAAUAUGCCCAUUAAAAAUACUAGUCCAAAUUUGCUUUAAUGGUAGACAAUUAUUCAAUACAAAUUAACUUUUUAAGUGACUGAAAUAUUAAAUAGUUUAGAAUAUGGUAUAACAAUGUAAAAAAAUAUUAUUUUCAGGAACGAUUAGGGCCCGAUAUAUUUGAAACUCAUGUUGGACAUAGUAUUGAGUUGGGUAGAAUAUUAUUCUACGUUAAGUGAGGGUAUCAGAUACCUAUUAUUGUACUGUAUUUUAAUAUAUACAUUAGAAUUGUUGGUUUUUU